GUUUGUUUAAAUUCUUCCAUUUUCUUUAUGCUCCUGCCAGCAGUAGGAUUCUUGUACUCUGCUCUCCAUUUCCCUUUUAUUCGGGAUCACAAAGGGGACAUCUCGAAGCAGAAGCAGUGGCAGCAGCAGCAGUAGAAGAUGGGCUAGCUGAGGAAAUCGUAAACGGCAAAAAGUUUUUAACUUGAGAUAAGCGCAAAAUUAUUUGUGUACCAUUGUGUUUGACUGCAAUGAUACGACUAUAAUUUCAAAAGUUAUGCCAUGAACGAAGAGUCACAAACAUGAUUCUUUCUCUUUGCUUUUCGACGGAAAUGAAAUGGUUUCGCAGUUCAAUAUUGACAUCUGUGAAAUGUCACUCAAGUCAAAAGCUGCCAAGAACUUACAAAAGAAGAAUUGUUCAUUUGUUCAAUUUGACGAUGCACCAACAUUUUCCUGUAAAAAUAUGCAAGAAUUCCUCAAAGCAUUGCAUUCCAAUUAAAUUAGUUGCAAAAACCGUAUUCGGAUCCAAAGGAAGAUAUGAAAGGUUUAAAAGAAAACUUUAACGUGUACAGCUUAACUGAUCUUAAUGUGUGGGUUGCAUCCAAGUUUAAUCCCAAGAAACGAAUAAAGGACAAUUUUUGGAUUGGUCUCCUACCCUGAAAAGUGCACAACUUGCACAUCUUUAAAUUACACAUUGGACCAAACAGACACGCUCCCCUGUGCACUCCACUGACAAAAGGGUAUCGUAUAAUGUAGUAAACAAUGUAAACAAAAUUGGUAUACAAAUUUAUUGCACUUUUUGAAAA